AACGCGUGAGAAUCUAACUUCAGGACGGGGACAACAGUUGGAAACGACUGCUAAUACCCGAUGUGCCGCAAGGUGAAACCUAAUUGGCCUGAAGAAGAGCUUGCGUCUGAUUAGCUAGUUGGUGGGGUAAGAGCCUACCAAGGCGACGAUCAGUAGCUGGUCUGAGAGGAUGAGCAGCCACACUGGGACUGAGACACGGCCCAGACUCCUACGGGAGGCAGCAGUGGGGAAUUUUCCGCAAUGGGCGAAAGCCUGACGGAGCAACGCCGCGUGAGGGAGGAAGGUCUUUGGAUUGUAAACCUCUUUUCUCAAGGAAGAAGUUCUGACGGUACUUGAGGAAUCAGCCUCGGCUAACUCCGUGCCAGCAGCCGCGGUAAUACGGGGGAGGCAAGCGUUAUCCGGAAUUAUUGGGCGUAAAGCGUCCGCAGGUGGUCAGCCAAGUCUGCUGUCAAAUCAGGUUGCUUAACGACCUAAAGGCGGUGGAAACUGGCAGACUAGAGAGCAGUAGGGGUAGCAGGAAUUCCCAGUGUAGCGGUGAAAUGCGUAGAGAUUGGGAAGAACAUCGGUGGCGAAAGCGUGCUACUGGGCUGUAUCUGACACUCAGGGACGAAAGCUAGGGGAGC
rnacentral:rRNA from 21 species